AACAAAAUCUAUCUCUACUACGCUAUAAAGCCACUACCCAUCCUCCUCCUUAAAUCUAACCUAAACCCUCACCAUCCCACCUCUCUCUCUCUCUCUCUCUCUUUCUCUAUCUCAAUGUUUCGGUUUCGGGUUCUUACUAUCACCAUCCUCCGUCCGUGCCGGCGGUGUUAUGCUGUGGCUUCGGCGGCGGCUGAGACCCCACGAGUCCUGCCGGCGGCAGCGGGGACGGAGAAGUCAGGCGCCUGCAGAGCUGCGAAGGAGAAGGAGGCCUUUUGGAUGAGGGAUCCCAAGACGGGGAACUGGAUCCCUGAGAACCGGUUCGCCGACAUCGACGCGGCCGAGCUCCGAGCCCGGCUCCUUCCCAAGAAAUAAUGUAAACCAAUUAUUGAGCAACAAAAACCCGGUCCGAGCCAAUCCGACCGGGUCCCAUUUCCUGAACUCGUUGUCCGGUCCGGCUUGUGCAGGCUCUCAUAAUCUUAUUUUUAAGAAUUUCUUAUUAUUGUUGCACAUUUGUUCCCAAAAAGAUCAAGAUAAAAUAGAGUGAUCUCGAUCGUGAUGAAAACCUUAUAUAUCUAGUGGUUUGUUCUUCUCUUCUAA